GUGUCAGUCAAGGAGAGCUCAUUAAUAUAAGCUCCCCGACACACAGCCUGUUCAUUCAGGCUUCCUGAUUGUUAGAGAUGAGAGAAAAGGUUCCCUUGGAGAGUUCAUCAAUGAGCUUGACGCCUUGAUAAGUUCCCUUCCUGAGGAUGGCUCACCCCUCACAAUUCUGGGUGACUUUAACCUCCUUACGUCUACCUUUGACUAAUUUCUCUCUGCCUCCUUCUUUCCACUCCUCUCCUCUUUUGACCUCACCCUCUCACCGUCCCCCCCUACUCACAAGGCAGGCAAUAUGUUUGACCUCAUCUUUACUAGAUGCUGUUCUUCUACUAAUCUCACUGCAACUCCCCUCCAAGUCUCCGAUCACUACCUUGUAUCCUUUUCCCUCUCGCUCUCCUCCAACACUACUCACUCUGACCCUACUCAGAUGGUAUUGCGCCGUCGCAACCUUCGCUCUCUCUCUCAUGCUACUCUCUCCUCUUCCAUCCUAUCAUCUCUUCCCUCUGCUCAAUCCUUCUCCAACCAGUCUCCUGAUUCUGCCUCCUCAACCCUUCUCUCCUCCCUUUCUGCAUCCUUUGACUCUCUAUGUCCCCUAUCCUCCCGGCCGGCUCGGUCCUCCCCUCCUGCUCCGUAGCUUGACGACUCAUUGCGAGAUCAUAGAACAGGGCUCCAGGCAGCCGAGCGGAAAUGGAGGAAAACUAGCCUCCCUGCGGUCCUGACAUCUUUUCACUCCCUCCUCUCCACAUUUUCUUCCUCUGUUUCUGCUGCUAAAGCCACUUUCUACCACUCUAAAUUCCAAGCAUCUGCCUCUAAUCCUAGGAAUCUCUUUGCCACCUUCUCCUCCCUCCUGAAUCCUCCUCCGAUCCUCAUUUGUUAACCUCUACGUAACAGCCACUGGCAGCCUGUGGCGCGAUUUUCAAAACCUUAAAAAUCCUAUUACUUCAAUUUCUCAAACAUAUGACUAUUUUACAGCUAUUUAAAGACAAGACUCUCGUUAACCUCUUACAUCUAGACGUUCCGCUAGCGGAACACCUGCUCCAAUAUCCAAUGAUGGCCGUGGCGCGAAAUACAAACUCCUCUAAAAUACAAAAACUUCAUUUUUUCAAACAUAUGACUAUUUCACAGCAUUUUAAAGAUAAGACUCUCCUUUAUCUAACCACACUGUCCGAUUUCAAAAAGGCUUUACAACGAAAGCAAAACAUUAGAUUAUGUCAGCAGAGUACCAAGCCAGAAAUAAUCAGACACCCAUUUUUCAAGCUAGCAUAUAAUGUCACAAAAACCCAGAAGACAGCUAAAUGCAACACUAACCUUUGAUGAUGUCCAUCAGAUGACAACCCUAGGACAUUAUGUUAUACAAUACAUGCAUGUUUUGUUCAAUCAAGUUCAUAUUUAUAUCAAAAAACAGCUUUUUACAUUAGCAUGUGACGUUCAGAACCAGCAUACCCCCCGCAAACUUCCGGGGAAUUCGCUAACAUUUUACUAAAUUACUCACGAUAAACGUUCACAAAAAGCAUAACAAUUAUUUUAAGAAUUAUAGAUACAGACCUCCUCUAUGCACUCGAUAUGUCCGAUUUUAAAAUAGCUUUUUGGUGAAAGCACAUUUUGCAAUAUUCUAAGUACAUAGCCCAGACAUCACGGGCUAGCUAUUUAGACACCCGACAAGUUUAGCACUCACCAAUAUCAGCAUUACUAUUAUAAAAGUUUCAUUACCUUUUGUUGUCUUCGUCAGAAUGCACUCCCAGG
rnacentral:lncRNA from 1 species